UGCCAGCAGCCGCGGUAAUACGGAGGGUGCAGGCGUUGUUCGGAAUUAUUGGGCGUAAAGCGCGUGUAGGCGGUUCGUUAAGUCUGAUGUGAAAGCCCGGGGCUCAACCCCGGAAGUGCAUUGGAAACUGGCGAACUUGAGUACGGGAGAGGAAAGUGGAAUUCCGAGUGUAGGGGUGAAAUCCGUAGAUAUUCGGAGGAACACCAGUGGCGAAGGCGGCUUUCUGGACCGAUUCUGACGCUGAGGCGCGAAAGCUAGGGGAGCGAACGGGAUUAGAUA
rnacentral:rRNA from 1 species